rnacentral:rRNA from 1 species
GUGGGGAAUAUUGGGCAAUGGGCGAAAGCCUGACCCAGCAACGCCGCGUGAGGGAAGAAGGCCUUCGGGUUGUAAACCUCUGUCCUUGGUGACGAAGAAAGUGACGGUAGCCAAGGAGGAAGCCCCGGCUAACUACGUGCCAGCAGCCGCGGUAAUACGUAGGGGGCGAGCGUUGUCCGGAAUUACUGGGCGUAAAGGGUGCGUAGGUGGUGGUUUAAGUCCGUUGUGAAAGCCCCGGGCUCAACCUGGGAAUUGCAGGUCGAACUGCUUGGCUAGAGUAUGGUAGAGGGGUGUGGAAUUCCAGGUGUAGCGGUGAAAUGCGUAGAUAUCUGGAGGAACAUCAGUGGCGAAGGCGACACCCUGGACCGAUACUGACACUGAGGUGCGAAAGCGUGGGUAGCGAACAGGAUUAGAAACCCUAGUAGUCC